rnacentral:tRNA from 1 species
GUGGUCGGAGCAUGGCGGUCUGUGCGGCCGGUUGUGGCCCGGCAUGCCUGGGUUCGACUCCCAGCGAUCACC